ACAGGUGCAAACCUCUCGGCACCCAAUUAUUUUGGCUUCCUUAUUGUGGCCGCUUUGCACGUGGCUGCUUAUGGGUGUUAGCCUCACUUCUCUGCCGGCAGCCACGCUAAGCCGUCCCGGAGAGAGGUAAAUGCUCUGGUUCCAGGAGUUGCAACUUCUAGCCUUGCACUUAAGCUCAAAGUCGCCGGGAUACAGGGAGGAAAGCCAAGCCAUGCAGGGCCCUAGGGGUGGCGGCACUCUCCCGGCCUGAAGAUUCUCCACCCCCCUCCCAAACAGACCAGCCUUCCGAACGCGUCAGGCUUGGCGCGGAGAGAUGGCGCCAGGUAGCAGGCCACAGGAGGGGGCCAGUGUCGCCACUUCAGGGUGAGGGGCAGCAAGGCACGGCUAGGCUGCCCCGUACCCCCCCGCCCCAAGCCGGGAGCAGUGGCACGCGCCUCUUCCCCGCCCCCUCUUCAGCCUUGAUCGAGACGCUGGAGGCUUCUCACGGCGGGAGGGAGCACAGGAAAUAAAAGCAAGUGUGCGCGGCGCUGGGGGAGGGGGAUUCCUGCUCCCGCUCCCCGGCCUUGUCCUGUCGCGGAGCCAGGAAAACAAGCCUCAAGAAACAGCUUCAAGGUCUCACACCUUCAAAAAUAAGUCUUUUAAGAAAUCCAGUAUAUGUGGAUUCUGCAAACAAGUCAUCAAGAGACAAAGAAUUUCCUGCAGAGACCAUAGAUCAAGAUUUGAAGACAAUUGGAGCAAUUCUUCUUUAAGAGGGGAAGACCAGGCCCAUCUUAUAGCACCACUAGACCUUCAGAGGAAAACUACACCUUCUACAGGAUCACUGCUUCAACGGAACCACAUCUGUCACUGCAGUAGGACUGCAGCCACCAUUUAAUCGGACUGCUACGAACACUCUGACCAACAGGGUGUCAGGUCAUAUUCUGACUCUGUUGGUGUUGUUUUUUAUUACUGCAUUUUUAUUUUUAUUUUUUCCUGAUAAAGAACUGUUAUUCCUACUCCCAUAUCUUUACCGGAGAGUCCCUUAAUUUCAAAAUUAUUAUAAUUUGAAGGGAGGGCGUUUGCAUUUUCCAUUUUAAGAGAAGCUCCUGCCUUCCUUAUAGGACACAGCAUAUCAUAUUGAUGAUUUCUUUUUCGUAGCCCAUAUUAUAUUUUCAUCUGUUGGUGGUCUUUGUUGCAUUUUUUGUAUGAGCUUUAAGAACAACUGUGAAUCAGAACCUCCAGGUCCAUAAGGUUUUACCCACAUAAUCUAGCAACAUCUGCCUUCUUACUUACUUUGGAGAUCACCCAUUUUAAGCUGAUCUCUUUUUAUUUUUCUUUGAUCCUUGCUCUUAGCAUAAUUUAUGCAGGAGGUAUUUUCAAGAUCCAUCACAGACAUGCAAGCUCUUGAGAUCUUAGACUGUCUGCAGCUGAAGACAGAAGAAAAACCCGGAGACAGUCCAGCCAUUUUUUGGGUUUCAUGUGAGUUGCUGUCUACAGUAAUCCACAGUCUUGUUGGAAAGGUUUUGUGGAUGAAAUGUUGCAACAUGGGUUUAUCUUUUUAGCUGGAGGAAGGAGGUCUAAAAAUUACCUUUGUUUCUAAACUGGAGUAAGGUUGAUUAAUUGACAGGCAAGUGUACCUUUAAAAAGAUCCGAGAAAUUAACAGUGUAUUUUUUUAAAUGUUAAAACAUUUUUAUUGUUACUACUGUUCUGCCUUUGUAAACCUUUUGUUGUCAAGAUUUUUCUACAGGACAGGAAGAAGGUGGGAGUAAAGGAAAAGAAAGGACAUGCUAUUGCAGCUGUAGGACCAAAAUAUUUUUUUCUUUAUAAAGAUUUUCCACAGCUGUUGCUGGCAACAGCAAGUGGAAUAUUUCAUCUGUGGGAAGGUUCAUUCACAACUCUGCAUUGCCCCCCCCACCCCUGCCCCCCAUCAAAAUGCUGAAGUUCUGCACAAAUUUCCCAUAACUGUCUGUUAGCCUGGUCAUGGUUUAAGAAAGUCUGGUUUUCAGUUGGGGGAGGUGGUUCCUUGUGGGGAGCCUGGUGUUGCCAACGAGCUGGCUAGUUUUGAAGAACCAAUCAUCUGGCCAGGUUUGAAGACUGAGAUCCAGUUAAACCACUUCAAAGAGGUGAAUACGCAUCUGUGGAAAAGCACUUUUUAAAACUACAAACAUCAGGGAAAGCUUUCUUGGCUUCUGGCUUUUGAGGAGGUAGUUGGCUGACCUGGCCCUGUGGGACCAGGUUGAGCAGGGCUGGGCCACGCCUGCGUGGCUGGGCUGGUGCUGUGUGGCCAGGUUGGCUUCGCCCACAGCACAGCUGAGAUUUCUGCCCUAUGAGGGAUGGUGCAUGGGCUUUUGAGCCCCUCACCAAGGAGCCUGCUGGGCCCCAUCCUGGCAGGCGGCUGGGGCCCUUCCCAGCAGGGCUGGGCCCCUUCCCAGUGAAGCCUGCUAGUCCUUUGUUCUACUGGUGCCGCUGUGCCAUGCUGGCCGGAAGCUUUAUCAGCACCAGGAGCAACCAUGCAGUGGGGACCAGCACAAGGAGUGGUCCCAUGGUUGGCGCUGGCUGCAGCCCUGAGGCCAGGAGUGGCCGGAUCUGGGGUGGCUGUGUGGCUGCCACCAGCCUGGACUGGGAAGGGGCCACAGGGCCGAGACUGUGCAGAUGAAAUUGGCAUGACUGGGACAAAGGCACGCAGCCAUGGCUGCCUCAGCGUGGCUCAUAAUGGACUUUGUUUGUUUAGCCACUUUUAGUGAGCCAUACUAUGGACAGAAGGACAAAACUGUCAGCAGCAGCUUUUCUUGGUUUUGGCACUCUGAGUGAAGGAAAAGCGCUAAGUAAAGCCAACAGCUGCCAAGGUUUGCACGGUGUCGGCAGAGACCACAUCAAUAGCAGCGAAAGACACAGCAAUUUCCCUGAUGCAGAGCCUGGAUAAGAUCAACCUUUGAGUGCUAUAAAACUCUAUAAAAACUGUUUCAGUUGAUAAAGCUUGAGAACAAAUGAACCUAUGAACACCAAUACUCUCCCGAAUCAGGAAGAGGAAAAGGUGAAGACAUGUAGGGAAAACAGUGUGAGACACUGAUGUCAGUAAAGAGGCAAAUCAAAUUCUAGAUGGGAGAGGAUUGAGGAGAUGCCUUAGUCUUGGACUGAAAUUCUUUGAUGAGGCUAUGGUGAAGACAUAAAUUUUUGAUAUAUCUGACUUUGUUUUUUGCCUGUAAUUUGUGAAGUACAUGGGGGGAUGCCGCAUUCACUUGCAGCCCAUGAAGAAAGGGCACUCAUGCUGGAGUGUGUGGAUGCUGAAAAGCUCUAAUCUAACAAGAAGCUUGAACAGAGAGAGAUGAGAUAGAAGAAGAAAAACCUUGUUCCCAGAGGUAAAAUAAUAGAACUUUUGUUUUUAUGCUAAAACAGCUCAUCCUUAAAAUUAGUACCCUGUAAGUUGACAUGGCCCAUGAAAGCAGCAAGACAUGGGAGGGACUUUCACACUGUUUCUGCGAACAGAUUUUCCUUACCCACGUGGCUGAUUGGCUGUGACAUGGAAGCCAAGACUGCUGAGAGAAUUGUUUGUUGUGGAGAAGUCUCCAUAGCAUGGCAAGAGCGACUCCUCUCCUGAGUGGACUGAAGAAAGAUUAUUUUUAGAGGUGGUAAACUGAUUGAAAAUUCCAGGUUUUGUCUCUUUACAUUGUUGGUGGGAAAGAAAAGAGGGUGUGGGGAGAGAAGUGUUCUGAAGGUUUAUUCUGAUUUUUUUAUAAUUUUUCUUUAAUUCUGUUAAUUAAGUUUUCUUCAUACCCUUUAAAGUUUUGAACCUGUUUUACUCUCUUCCUCCUAAUCCAUAUUUCACAGCAAGAAAUGAGUAAAUAAUUUCUAGUGGGUACACUGCUGUUUGACCAGCACUAAAACCACUACAUAUACUGGUGUAUUGACUGGGAAACUCAGAUUGGCGAACCAGUACCACUACAGUCUUCUCUUCAAAAACAAUGGCACUGUCAUGAAGUAGUGGGAGCAAUAUUCAGAUGACGAGACAGUGGUUGGCUGAAUAUGAGAAAAAGAACAAAAGAAAAUGAAGGAUAAUAUUUGAAGCACAGGAAAUGCACCAGCAGAUGUUGCUGUAAUGUGGCUGUUAGAGUAGUGAGAUCUUUGGCAUGUGGCUUUGGUAACUUCUUAAAAAUAGAAGUGUUUAUUUUUGCAUCUAAUGACUAAUAUUUCCAGCUAGGCUAUACUUAUCCCACCCUCUACACAAAGUGGGCUGGGAAAAGAAAUGCACAAAACUGCCUCACACGAAAUUGCAUACCAAUUUAUUUUUAAUGUUGCACUUAAUUUCUGUGUGUCUGAUUUUCAUGCUGCUUUCUUUUGAUUUUUUUCUUGAGUUGAAUUGUUGCAAAGUUGGUAGGAGCAGGUCAGCAGAAUUUUUUUUUUCUCAUAAUCUGAUCACAACAUUAUUAAACACUUGUUGAAAUAAAAAUAGCUGGUAGACUGCACUUGUAGCAACAUUUCAUCCACAAAGCCAUUUCAACCAGACCGGUUUGCUGUAGCCAUUAGGCAUUUGGGAGAUUUUGGUCAAAAAAUGGCCUCUUCUCCUUCUCUACCCCAAGGAGAUUAUGUUGUGGUGACCAUAAUUUGCAUUUUUAGAAACCAAAUCAAGUUAUUUUAACAAAAAGAAAAUAAAUUUUCUUCACAGCCAAUGACAGUCCUGAUAUUUUGUGCAUGAUAUUUCCUGCAGGUGUGAGCUGUUGGUCAGUAGCAGUAUCACUAGACUUCAUAUUAAAAUAGCUGGGCUCUACCAUUUCUAUUACCCUCUGACAUCCAUCUGUGCUGGUAUUUAAGAGAGAAGUCUGGAACUAUAAAACUUUAGUCUUGAUUACAUGAAUCUUUUUAUAUGCUUGGUUUAGAUUACAUUCUGUUGUGAAUUUUCGAGAACUCUUCUAUUACUGUCAAAAUCUAUCUUUAAUAGCAUGUGUCUGUUUUGUUGAAUUGGAGUUGCUGAGGGAAAGAAAGCAUCUUUCAGACAUCUAGGCCUUUGAUUUGGUAUCCCAGUUUUUUUAGUCACCAGGAAGUUAAAAAUGAAUAUCCAGGCCUGUCUGGUGUAUGUUUUUGGAACAAAAAUUUUUGUUAGGGAUUAGAAAGGUGUUAAACUGGGUUACAUCUCUUUGAUUCUCUACUAAUAUGCAAGUUUCUACCCCAAGAGUACUCCUGAAUUAUCUUUUUUCUACCCUUUCCAUACAUGGUGGGGUUUAAAAACAAACACACAAAAACCUAUCACAGAGGAUCUCUUGAUAAAAGCUGUGAUUAAGUGCAUGGUUGUCUUUAUAAACCAGCCAUAUUCACUAUGUGUGCAUUGUGAUGGAAUAUGUGAAACAUUGCCAUAACAUAAGUCCAUUAAAUACUUAAAUGUGUCAAGGUGCAGAGCCCUUACCAGACAGAGAAAAGUUUCUCCUGGUAAAGCAUAAAUCAUUCUGCGGUUUGUUUACAGCAGUAGUUUCUUGCUUUGUAAAUACAUUGCUAGUGGUCUUCGCUUCUUACACACAAGAAUGUAAGAAGCAGAACUUUCAUUUUUCAAAACCUUUGGAGCUUAAGUCUAAAAAAUAUGAUUCACUAUGCUUAUUCUUCUCUCUUUACCCUGGCAGCAAUACUGGUAACUUGCAGGAGUUAACACAUCUUCAUUUUGAUACCCUUACUCCCUUUUUCUCCCUGUUGUUUAGGAGCUGUUUUGAAGUGCAGUAAAUUGACUAAAUAUGGCUUAGUCUCUAUUUUGCUGCUGGCCAGCUUGGGACAGUUUUUCUUGAAGCUUCUGAAAGACUUAACCUUGACAGCAACUUGAUGACUAAGUUUACAUCUGACUUGAGUGAUUUGUUUCCAGAAAAAAACUGUAAGAGCUGUUGUGUUACACAAGUGCAGAAAAAGCUGAUUUGCUUGUACAUGAAAACUUUAAAAAAAAAUAAAAAAUCAAUGCUUGCA